rnacentral:misc_RNA from 1 species
GUAUUGAUUGCGUGUUAUCGCAAAAAAAAGACAUUCUACACUACUUCAAGUUUGUGUUAAAACGCAAGCCCCCCUUCUGGACGAGCCAGAGAGGGACCCACGCGGUGGUGCACAAAGGGUGAGAUGGAUUGUGUGAGAGCACUUGGGCGUGCACGACCGAAAAGGUCAGCGACAGCCCUCGCACCUCGGUUUUACAAUAAUGAUCCUUCCGCAGGUUCACCUACGGAAA